rnacentral:rRNA from 1 species
CCCUUAGAUGUUCGGGGCCGCACGUGCGCUACACUGACGUUAUCAAUGAGUUUAUUCCUAAGCCGAAAGGUUUGGGAAAUCUUAUGAAUUAACGUCAUGUCAGGGAUUGGGGCUUGUAAUUAUUCCCCAUGAACGAGGAAUACCCAGUAAGCGCAAGUCAUAAGCUUGCGUUGAUUACGUCCCUGCCCUUUGUACACACCGCCCGUCGCUACUACCGAUUGGAUGACUUAGUGAGGCUUUUGGAUCGGAAUCAGUUGAUUGACAUUGUCAAGCUGUUGAGGCCAAAAAAAUCGUCAAACUUGGCCAUCUAGAGGAAGUAAAAGUCGUAACA